rnacentral:tRNA from 1 species
GUCUUUGUAGUAUACUGAUUACACUGGUCUUGUAAACCAUAGAAGGAGGGCCACACCCCCCCUAAGACU